rnacentral:rRNA from 1 species
UAACGAGCGCAACCCCUACUGCUAGUUGCCAGCGGGUCAUGCCGGGACGUCUAGCGGAACUGCCAGCGUAAGCUGCGAGGAAGGUGGGGAUGACGUCAAAUCAGCACGGCCCUUACGUCCAGGGCUACACACGUGUUACAAUGGCCAGUACAGAGGGCAGCCACCCCGCGAGGGGGCGCUAAUCCUAAAAGCUGGUCCCAGUUCGGAUCGGAGUCUGCAACCCGACUCCGUGAAGCUGGAUUCGCUAGUAAUCGCGCAUCAGCCACGGCGCGGUGAAUACGUUCCCGGGCCUU